rnacentral:rRNA from 1 species
GGCCUACCAUGGUGGUAACGGGUAACGGGGUGUUAGGGCACGACACCGGAGAGGGAGCCUGAGAAACGGCUACCACAUCCAAGGAUGGCAGCAGGCGCGCAAAUUACCCAAUCCCGACACGGGGAGGUAGUGACAAUAAAUAACAAUACGGGGUUCUUUAGGAUCUCGUAAUUGGAAUGAGUACAAUUUAAAUCUCUUAACGAGGAACAAUUGGAGGGCAAGUCUGGUGCCAGCAGCCGCGGUAAUUCCAGCUCCAAUAGCGUAUAUUAAAGUUGUUGCAGUUAAAAAGCUCGUAGUUGAAUUUCGGGGUUAGUAGGCUGGUCAUGCCACCGGUAUGUACUGGUCUUACUGAUUCCUCCUUCCUGAUGAACUGUAAUGCCAUUAAUUUGGUGUCACGGGGAAUUAGGACUGUUACCUUGAAAAAAUUAGAGUGUUUAAAGCAGGCUCACGCUUGAAUACAUUAGCAUGGAAUAAUGAAAUAGGACAUCCGAUUCUAUUUUGUUGGUUUCUAGGAUCGAUGUAAUGAUUAAUAGGGAUAGUUGGGGGCAUUAGUAUUCAAUUGUCAGAGGUGAAAUUCUUGGAUUUAUUGAAGACUAACUACUGCGAAAGCAUUUGCCAAGGAUGUUUUCAUUAAUCAAGAACGAAAGUUAGGGGAUCGAAGACGAUCAGAUACCGUCGUAGUCUUAACCAUAAACUAUGCCGACUAGGGAUCGGAUGAUGUUAAUUUUUUAAUGACUCAUUCGGCGCCUUAA